rnacentral:lncRNA from 1 species
CCCCAGCCUCGCUGCCGCCUUGUAGUUUGAUCUCAGACUGCUGUGCUAGCAAUCAGCGAGACUCCGUGGGCGUAGGACCCUCCUAGCCAGAUACAAAAAGAAAAAUUACUGUCAUGUGAUGUGUGAUCCAUGAUACCGUCAUAGUUUUGUUUUGCUGUGCUCCACCUUCAUACCUUCGCCUAUGUUAGAACUUCUGAGAAGCUGAAGCAUCACAUAUAAAAAGGUCUGAAGAAUAAUAUCACUUGGGUUAACAUGGCCAAGACCAUCCUCAAGGAGUUUAAUGAAUGUGGCAUCACAAGAAAAAUAUGCAUCAACAUUGAAAAGAAAAGAAAUAAAAUUCCAUUAACAGAGCUUGAGGAAGUGGACUUGACUAAGCUGGAGUAAGGAGUGCAGAGAGUGAGGAGACAGGAUGCGAAACAAGA